rnacentral:tRNA from 1 species
GCCAGGGUAGUGUUGUGGUUUGAGUGUUGAAUUGUGGAUCCAGAGGCCAAGGUUCAAUUCCUUGCUUGGCU